rnacentral:tRNA from 1 species
GUUUGUGGCUCAAAGGUAGAGCACUCGCCUAGCAUGUGUGAGGCACUGGGUGCGAUUCUCAGCACAACA